CGUGUAGGCGGUCAUUUAAGUCUGGAGUGAAAGUCCUGCAUUCAAUGUGGGAAUUGCUUUGGAUACUGGAUGACUUGAGUGCGGAAGAGGUAAGUGGAAUUCCCAGUGUAGCGAUGAAAUGCGUAGAGAUUGGGAGGAACACCAGUGGCGAAGGCGACUUACUGGGCCGUAACUGACGCUGAGGCGCGAAAGCGUGGGGAGCGAACA
rnacentral:rRNA from 1 species